CUGUAGGCUGAGUUUUGUGGGAUCUUAGGAAGGCAGGAGUGCCUUUGGCUUACCUAAUGGACCACAUUUAGGAAAGUCAUUCUUUUUAAGAUUACAGGCUACCAUGCAACCUCGGGAUUGAGCCCAAAGGAUGAGAAUAAGCAAUCCUGUUUUGAGGUUGAA